AAGAUGAAUCAAAGAAGGUAAUAAUCCUGUAGUCGAAAAUGUUGUCUCUCUUGAGUGGAUCCUGAGUACGACGGAGCACGUGAAAUUCCGUCGGAAUCUGGGAGGACCAUCUCCUAAGGCUAAAUACUCUCUAGUGACCGAUAGUGAACCAGUACCGUGAGGGAAAGGUGAAAAGCACCCCGGAAGGGGAGUGAAAUAGAACCUGAAACCGUGUGCUUACAAGUAGUCAGAGCCCGUUAAUGGGUGAUGGCUUGCCUUUUGUAGAAUGAACCGGCGAGUUACGAUUUGAUGCAAGGUUAAGCAGUAAAUGUGGAGCCGUAGCGAAAGCGAGUCUGAAUAGGGCGUUUAGUAUUUGGUCGUAGACCCGAAACCAGGUGAUCUACCCUUGGUCAGGUUGAAGUUCAGGUAACACUGAAUGGAGGACCGAACCGACUUACGUUGAAAAGUGAGCGGAUGAACUGAGGGUAGCGGAGAAAUUCCAAUCGAACCUGGAGAUAGCUGGUUCUCUCCGAAAUAGCUUUAGGGCUAGCCUCAAGUGAUGAUUAUUGGAGGUAGAGCACUGUUUGGACGAGGGGCCCCUCUCGGGUUACCGAAUUCAGACAAACUCCGAAUGCCAAUUAAUUUAACUUGGGAGUCAGAACAUGGGUGAUAAGGUCCGUGUUCGAAAGGGAAACAGCCCAGACCACCAGCUAAGGUCCCAAAAUAUAUGUUAAGUGGAAAAGGAUGUGGCGUUGCCCAGACAACUAGGAUGUUGGCUUAGAAGCAGCCAUCAUUUAAAGAGUGCGUAAUAGCUCACUAGUCGAGUGACACUGCGCCGAAAAUGUACCGGGGCUAAACAUAUUACCGAAGCUGUGGAUUGUCCUUUGGACAAUGGUAGGAGAGCGUUCUAAGGGCGUUGAAGCAUGAUCGUAAGGACAUGUGGAGCGCUUAGAAGUGAGAAUGCCGGUGUGAGUAGCGAAAGACGGGUGAGAAUCCCGUCCACCGAUUGACUAAGGUUUCCAGAGGAAGGCUCGUCCGCUCUGGGUUAGUCGGGUCCUAAGCUGAGGCCGACAGGCGUAGGCGAUGGAUAACAGGUUGAUAUUCCUGUACCACCUAUAAUCGUUUUAAUCGAUGGGGGGACGCAGUAGGAUAGGCGAAGCGUGCGAUUGGAUUGCACGUCUAAGCAGUAAGGCUGAGUAUUAGGCAAAUCCGGUACUCAUUAAGGCUGAGCUGUGAUGGGGAGAAGACAUUGUGUCUU
rnacentral:rRNA from 1 species